GCUGUCUCCAAGGACGCUGCAGUCCACCGGAGCCGCGUGUUGUGUUGCUGGCGAGUUAUAGUUCGUCCGGUUACGGUCCUGGCGACAGCAGGAGAAAGCAUGGCCCUGCUUGUCCUUCCUCGGGGCACGACGAGAUGAGGACUCCGUGCGGACACGACAUCCAGGAUGUCUGAGGACACAAAGCUCCUGAGAAGGCCGUUACCUCCUAAGACAUUGCCGGCCCUUCGCCCGGUGUCGCCCGCUAGGAGACCUGCAGGUCAGGAAUCAGUCUUUAACCCACUGCCGCCUGUUCAAAGAAAACCUGCCCCAGAUGGCAGAACGGAGGUGAUGCACAGCUGCAACCAUGCCAGUGUGCCUUUUGCCUCGCCAGUCCACCAGGCCGUGCCCAACCCCAGGAAUCGACUGGCUGUGAUCCCCAAAGGUCCCGGUGGGUUCCCCUGCAGGGCCCCGCGCACCUGGCCACAGGUGCACCUCCUGGGGACCCUGCAGGACGACCCUCGUUUCUGUUCCCAGCCGCCGUUCACCCUGAACGACUUUAUGGGAGGCCGCUGCUCCUGCCCGAGGCUUCGGAUGCAAACGCUGAAGCAAACUGUCUUCUCGCGUGAGAACUACAGAAAGCUGGUGGAACUGCUCCUCGCUGAGCUCCACAGGGGCAGGCGGCCUGACGUGUCCACUCAAGUGCUGUCCAGCGACUCUGUGCCUGUGGCCACAAAGAGGACCCCUCAAAGGCAGAUCAUCUACGAGCUAGCCGCUUUGAUAAGAGAGCAGGUAAGGAGUCAGACUUCAGCCAAGAGCUCCCACCGGGAAGACAGAGAUUCAGCUGUUGGAUGUGGCUCUAAAAGAGUUUCCAUAUCUGGGCAAAGAGAGGCUCUUCAGACACUAAGUUCCUCACAAGAACAUCCUGGAUCAGAAAUCAUUUUGAACUCCGUUACCACAAGAUAUUUUCAAGGGUCCCGGCGCAGCCAGUCUCCUUUUCUUCAGGACGAUCAGUGUGGUGUCAUUGGGCCCUCGGAGCUGGCCAUACUGGACUGCCUGGUGCAAGGAGGCGUUCUCCUGAGUCUGAAGGCUCAUUUUAUUGCUCGGGUUCCUGAUUUGACACCGCUGGCUCACAGUUUGCUUUAUCUAAACCUUUCAUUUAAUGAACUGAAUGUGUUUCCUACAGAGGUUUAUGACAUCCCAUGCUUAGAGGUGUUAAAACUAAGAGACAACCCCAUUAAAGAAAUUCCAGACGGUAUACACAAGCUGUCAAAACUGAAGACCUUUGUCAUUUCAUUCUGCUUAAUUUCAGCCCUUCCUCUUGGGUUGUUCUCUUUACCGUGCCUGCAGUUCCUGGAUGUCUCUUACAACAUGAUUUCAGCCAUCCCCAGUGACAUGAGGAAUCUCAGGGCCCUUGAGUACCUCAAUGUGGAGGGGAACCAGCUGGCUGCUCUUCCCUGUGGGGCUCUGAGGCUCUGUCUGAGGGAGCUGCGAGUCUCCAAUAACUACAUGCACCCCUACUUCUGGACAGAAAACACGCAGAACCAGCCCCAGAGGCUCGUCCACCUGGCAGCCCUCUGCUUCUCAGUGUAUGGUCUGGACCGGCGUUACACCAGCCUACCCUGUGACAUCCAGCAAACCCUAAAUAAUGUGAAUACGUGCGACUGCUGCAGAGGGCCCCUUUUCGGUCCUGGACUGCGGUUGAUCAGGCCUUGUGAGAAGAUAUUUGGAGUCCGAAAAGUACCUUUCCUGUUCUCCGCCUGUUCCCCGUCUUGUUACGAGAGCUUCACCACUCAGACUGAGAACCUCGUCCAGCUACUUUAUGGAGAAUCAGCAUCACAAAACAGUUAAUCCAGCAGGUGAAAUGAGAUGUUGGUCUAAGCAAAGAGAGGCUGACAAGAACAACUUCUGAAAGAAGCAGAGAACAGGAAGUGAAGAGGUGAAGACGGUAAAAAGGAUGUGAUCUGCAAAACUGACAAGAUAAAGAAUACUUGGUUUGCUGCCCUGUAGCACCACGUAGUGGAGAACCAUGAUAUGAACUGCUGAGCUGUGGUGAGAGGUGGAGUCGCUGCUCAUCAGACGCAGUGUGGUCGGCGUCAUGAAAGGGCCACUUUAGGUGAGGAAAGCCAUCUAGCUUGAUGGCAUUUCUGUGCCAAAUGAGACAAACCCAAGCUAGGCAGGGCACAACAACCUUGGAGACAAGUGGGUAUGGAAGAGCCACUUGAGUUUCCCUUGAUCUAAGGGCCAUACAAGAUAUUAAUACACUGUGAAGUAACAGGAAAAUUAUUCUUCAGCAGAUUUUCUUAAGUGAAAUACCUCUUUUACAAAACCAAGCCCUGGGCUUCACCCUUCAGGCCAUGUGAGACCUCCUUGAACUAGAGUCCUUGCUGCAUCUUCAGCCCUGAAUGAUGGAGUUUCCAUCAAGGUCUUUUAGUCUCCACAUCAGCCUGGUUUUAAAGCUGGGCAGUCACUGGGGUUCUGUCCCUCACACCCUGCUUCCCCGUCCCUCCCUCACCCUGCCACCACCCGAGGCGUGGGCUUCAAUUUGCCUUCUCAUCCUACCAUCUGGGAAAUUGUGGACAGUGUGUCCCUCGUUUGGUAGGGACGGUCUCCUGCACCAAAAGGGGUGGGUGGGCUGUUGACCUCGCCCUGGCCCUACUCAGAUCUAACAGGACUGGCUUCGCAGAAAAUGCUGGGGAGCUGCAAGCUCAGCCCAGCCCAAUCAGCAGAGGCAGGUGCUGAGGCUGGAUCCACCUGGACAGCUUUGGUAAAUGUGCUUUGCAGAAGAGCAGUGAUGUGGCAAUUGUAUCCAAAUGAAGACUGCGUUCCCUUUUCAUUUAACUUUGGAUCCCUUAUUAUUUCAUUUAUUUUUGGAAUCUACACUAAACAUCAAGGUGCACUAAAAAUCUACCUUUAAAAAAACAACCAAAGCAAAACCCACCGAAAACAAAAGCGUUAUUCUGCUUUACCUGUCUCCAUCUUCUUUCUGGGAUAACUGAUGUGUGUAGAGUUGUUUAAAAUGGUGGAAUGUUUUCUAAAUAGUAUUUUGUCACAUAAACUGGUACUGAGUACAGAUUUUUUUGUAUCUUGAAGACAAAAAUCAAUAUGUGAAUGAGUUCAAAGUAGCACCUUCAGAACAUGUUUUUAGCUUUUAGUUCACGUGUUUAGUUUAGGGAACCUAAAUCCUUUAGUUUACAAAAGUCUGUCCUUAAUGAAGCGGAUCAUCUAUGAAAUGAAACUGAACUGUAUUUGCAUGUCACGCUCAAUCACCCUGCAUAAACUAUACAAUGAAGCAAAUGAAAAAAAAAACUACAUUUUAAAUGAAAAACAUGAACUAGUCACAAGGACAAACUGUGAACUGAAACGCAUACAGUCGACUCGCAAUUUACCUGGGGGUUAGGGAUUUUGAAUAGCGUGUAACGCCAGAUACACCUCUAGUCAAAUUUUACUGUGUAUCCCAAUAAACUCCUGCUCGCCUUACGGUCAUUCAAGAUAAGUAUAAAAACAGUAAAAAAUACGACUGUAGAGGCUUUUUAACUAGCUCUCGUAAGCGCGCUUGACGGUUUCAGAGAAUAAAGCAUUUAUAAAGCAAGUUGAGAGCGCGUUAGGCGAGAGUCACUUUAGGUUCCAGAUCUUGCUCCCAUGAUAU